UCAUUCCUUCCUUCCCUUCCUGCUUAAUUUCCCACCUCUUUGUGCAUUUGAUGUUAGCAUCUUUAGAAUUUGAUCUCUAGGAAUUGCUAGAUUCUUUUUUUUGCUUGUGCCCCCCAUGUUGCUAGUUCUUGCUCCCUCCUCUUGUUUUGGUUGGGUAGGGGGUAGGGGCAUGAGAUGGAGAUAUGCUGCACCUAGCCAGUCUUAAUUUGCUUGUCAAAGUGUGGUUAAUUAAUAAAUGGCUCUCUUGUCAUACUAUGCUGGUUCUGUUUGUUGGAU
rnacentral:lncRNA from 1 species